rnacentral:rRNA from 1 species
CUUGGUCAUUUAGAGGAAGUAAAAGUCGUAACAAGGUUUCCGUAGGUGAACCUGCGGAAGGAUCAUUACAGUAGUCGCCCGGGUUGCCGCAAGGCCUCCCGGGUAACCUACCACCCUUUGUUUAUUACACUUUGUUGCUUUGGCAGGCCUGCCCUCGGGCUGCUGGCUCCGGCCGGCGAGCGCUUGCCAGAGGACCUAAACUCUGUUUGUCUAUACUGUCUGAGUACUAUAUAAUAGUUAAAACUUUCAACAACGGAUCUCUUGGUUCUGGCAUCGAUGAAGAACGCAGCGAAAUGCGAUAAGUAAUGUGAAUUGCAGAAUUCAGUGAAUCAUCGAAUCUUUGAACGCACAUUGCGCCCCCUGGUAUUCCGGGGGGCAUGCCUGUCCGAGCGUCAUUACAACCCUCAAGCUCAGCUUGGUAUUGGGCCCCGCCGACCCGGCGGGCCCUAAAGUCAGUGGCGGUGCCGUCCGGCUCCGAGCGUAGUAAUUCUUCUCGCUCUGGAGGUCCGGUCGUGUGCUCGCCAGCAACCCCCAAUUUUUUUCAGGUUGACCUCGGAUCAGGUAGGGAUACCCGCUGAACUUAAGCAUAUCAAUAAGCGGAGGAA